AUUAGUUUAGUUUAUAUAAAACCUUAUAUUUUCAUUAUAAUAAUAUUCUUAGGAAUAACUAUUA
rnacentral:tRNA from 1 species